UACGAAGGGGGCUAGCGUUGCUCGGAAUCACUGGGCGUAAAGGGUGCGUAGGCGGGUCUUUAAGUCAGGGGUGAAAUCCUGGAGCUCAACUCCAGAACUGCCUUUGAUACUGAAGAUCUUGAGUUCGGGAGAGGUGAGUGGAACUGCGAGUGUAGAGGUGAAAUUCGUAGAUAUUCGCAAGAACACCAGUGGCGGAAGGCGGCUCACUGGCCCGAUACUGACGCUGAGGCACGAAAGCGUGGGGAGCAAACAGG
rnacentral:rRNA from 1 species